ACAUGCAAGUCGAGCGGAAACGAUCCUAGCUUGCUAGGAGGCGUCGAGCGGCGGACGGGUGAGUAAUGCAUAGGAAUCUGCCCGGUAGUGGGGGAUAACCUGGGGAAACCCAGGCUAAUACCGCAUACGUCCUACGGGAGAAAGCAGGGGAUCUUCGGACCUUGCGCUAUCGGAUGAGCCUAUGUCGGAUUAGCUUGUUGGUGAGGUAAUGGCUCACCAAGGCGACGAUCCGUAGCUGGUCUGAGAGGAUGAUCAGCCACAUCGGGACUGAGACACGGCCCGAACUCCUACGGGAGGCAGCAGUGGGGAAUAUUGGACAAUGGGCGAAAGCCUGAUCCAGCCAUGCCGCGUGUGUGAAGAAGGCUUUCGGGUUGUAAAGCACUUUCAGUGAGGAAGAAAGCCUUCGGCCUAAUACGCCGGAGGAACGACAUCACUCACAGAAGAAGCACCGGCUAACUCCGUGCCAGCAGCCGCGGUAAUACGGAGGGUGCGAGCGUUAAUCGGAAUUACUGGGCGUAAAGCGCGCGUAGGUGGCUUGAUAAGCCGGUUGUGAAAGCCCCGGGCUCAACCUGGGAACGGCAUCCGGAACUGUCAGGCUAGAGUGCAGGAGAGGAAGGUAGAAUUCCCGGUGUAGCGGUGAAAUGCGUAGAGAUCGGGAGGAAUACCAGUGGCGAAGGCGGCCUUCUGGACUGACACUGACACUGAGGUGCGAAAGCGUGGGUAGCAAACAGGAUUAGAUACCCUGGUAGUCCACGCCGUAAACGAUGUCGACUAGCCGUUGGGGUCCUUGAGACCUUUGUGGCGCAGUUAACGCGAUAAGUCGACCGCCUGGGGAGUACGGCCGCAAGGUUAAAACUCAAAUGAAUUGACGGGGGCCCGCACAAACAAGCGGUGGAGCAUGUGGUUUAAUUCGAUGCAACGCGAAGAACCUUACCUACCCUUGACAUCGUGCGAACUUUCCAGAGAUGGAUUGGUGCCUUCGGGAGCGCACAGACAGGUGCUGCAUGGCUGUCGUCAGCUCGUGUUGUGAAAUGUUGGGUUAAGUCCCGUAACGAGCGCAACCCUUGUCCCUAUUUGCCAGCGAUUCGGUCGGGAACUCUAGGGAGACUGCCGGUGACAAACCGGAGGAAGGUGGGGACGACGUCAAGUCAUCAUGGCCCUUACGGGUAGGGCUACACACGUGCUACAAUGGUCGGUACAAUGGGUUGCGAAGCCGCGAGGUGAAGCUAAUCCCAUAAAGCCGGUCUCAGUCCGGAUCGGAGUCUGCAACUCGACUCCGUGAAGUCGGAAUCGCUAGUAAUCGUGAAUCAGAAUGUCACGGUGAAUACGUUCCCGGGCCU
rnacentral:rRNA from 1 species